rnacentral:rRNA from 1 species
GUGCCAGCCGCCGCGGUAAUACGGAGGGUGCAAGCGUUGUCCGGAUUUAUUGGGUUUAAAGGGUGCGUAGGCGGCCGAUUAAGUCAGCGGUGAAAGUUUCCGGCUCAACCGGGAGACUGCCGUCGAUACUGGUUGGCUUGAGUAAUGGAGGGGUACAUGGAAUUUAUGGUGUAGCGGUGAAAUGCAUAGAUACCAUAAGGAACACCGAUAGCGAAGGCAUUGUACCGGCUAUUUACUGACGCUGAGGCACGAAAGCGUGGGUAGCGAACAGGAUUAGAAACCCGUGUAGUCC